rnacentral:rRNA from 1 species
AAUCAACGCUGGCGGCGUGCCUCAGACAUGCAAGUCGAACGAUUAAAGCUCUCUUCGGAGAGUGCAUAGAGUGGCGCACGGGUGAGUAACACGUAAGUAAUCUACCUUCGAGUGGGGAAUAACGUCCGGAAACGGACGCUAAUACCGCAUAAUGCAGCGGCAUCAUAAGAUGACAGUUGUUAAAGAUUUAUCGCUUGAAGAGGAGCUUGCGGCAGAUUAGCUAGUUGGUAAGGUAAUGGCUUACCAAGGCUACGAUCUGUAACGGUCUAAGAGGACGGUCGGUCACACUGACACUGAAUAACGGGUCGAGACUCCUACGGGAGGCAGCAGUC